rnacentral:rRNA from 1 species
AGAAGCUUGCUUCUAUGACGUUAGCGGCGGACGGGUGAGUAACACGUGGGCAACCUGCCUGUAAGACUGGGAUAACUUCGGGAAACCGAAGCUAAUACCGGAUAGGAUCUUCUCCUUCAUGGGAGAUGAUUGAAAGAUGGUUUCGGCUAUCACUUACAGAUGGGCCCGCGGUGCAUUAGCUAGUUGGUGAGGUAACGGCUCACCAAGGCAACGAUGCAUAGCCGACCUGAGAGGGUGAUCGGCCACACUGGGACUGAGACACGGCCCAGACUCCUACGGGAGGCAGCAGUAGGGAAUCUUCCGCAAUGGACGAAAGUCUGACGGAGCAACGCCGCGUGAGUGAUGAAGGCUUUCGGGUCGUAAAACUCUGUUGUUAGGGAAGAACAAGUACGAGAGUAACUGCUCGUACCUUGACGGUACCUAACCAGAAAGCCACGGCUAACUACGUGCCAGCAGCCGCGGUAAUACGUAGGUGGCAAGCGUUAUCCGGAAUUAUUGGGCGUAAAGCGCGCGCAGGCGGUUUCUUAAGUCUGAUGUGAAAGCCCACGGCUCAACCGUGGAGGGUCAUUGGAAACUGGGGAACUUGAGUGCAGAAGAGAAAAGCGGGAAUUCCACGUGUAGCGGUGAAAUGCGUAGAGAUGUGGAGGAGCACCAGUGG